CGGAACAUGUCCUGUAGUGGGGGAUAGCCCGGCGAAAGCCGGAUUAAUACCGCAUACGAUCUGAGGAUGAAAGCGGGGGACCUUCGGGCCUCGCGCUAUAGGGUUGGCCGAUGGCUGAUUAGCUAGUUGGUGGGGUAAAGGCCUACCAAGGCGACGAUCAGUAGCUGGUCUGAGAGGACGACCAGCCACACUGGGACUGAGACACGGCCCAGACUCCUACGGGAGGCAGCAGUGGGGAAUUUUGGACAAUGGGCGAAAGCCUGAUCCAGCAAUGCCGCGUGUGUGAAGAAGGCCUUCGGGUUGUAAAGCACUUUUGUCCGGAAAGAAAUCCUUGGUUCUAAUAUAGCCGGGGGAUGACGGUACCGGAAGAAUAAGCACCGGCUAACUACGUGCCAGCAGCCGCGGUAAUACGUAGGGUGCAAGCGUUAAUCGGAAUUACUGGGCGUAAAGCGUGCGCAGGCGGUUUGCUAAGACCGAUGUGAAAUCCCCGGGCUCNACCUGGGAACUGCAUUGGUGACUGGCANGCUAGAGUAUGGCAGANGGGGGUAGAAUUCCNCGUGUAGCA
rnacentral:rRNA from 1 species